GGGGGCGUUCUGGUUUCGACUGAACGCUGGAAACGCUAGCUGCAUGGAGAGGUUGAUCGGUUGGCCUCUUAAAAAAGCCGUUCAAAACAAAUAAUUGCAGACUCUAACGAGCUCGCACUUGCUGCUUAAUUGACAGCAACGUUCCAAUCCUGAUGUCUGUUACGGUGCGGGGCGACUACUUAGCAGACUAGUCAUUCAUCCGGGGAUCCGGGAAGAUUGGCGAAAUUCAAACAGGAUUAUCGGAUUGUCAGACGGGCCGGGCGAGGCCUGACAAAUCUUAAAUCAGUAAAUGCCCGGCUAUCCAUGUAGACGCUAAUGUGAAAGGCAUUUAGGACAGGGGUUCAACUCCCCUCGCCUCCACCA
rnacentral:tmRNA from 2 species